rnacentral:rRNA from 1 species
UACGAGUGCCCCAAGCGUUAUCCGGAAUUAUUGGGCGUAAAGGGUGCGUAGGUGGUCCUGUCCCAACCUAGUUGGGAUUCACUAGUCUUUCGUUAAAACUCCCGGCUUAACCGGGAAUAUGCGAGGGAAACGGCGGGACUAGAGAAUGCAAGAGGCUUGUAGAACUCAUGGUGUAGGGGUGAAAUCCGUUGAUAUCAUGGGGAAUACCAAAUGCGAAGGCAGCAAGCUGGUGCAUAUCUGACACUGAGGCACGAAAGCGUGGGUUUCGAACGGG